rnacentral:lncRNA from 1 species
GCUAGGAUAAAAAAAUUUGUCCUGCAUUGUUUUUUAGUUGUAAUCUCUGUCCUGCCUUUUUAUUUUUCACUCUUUUCGGUCCUGCCUUUUUUUCUUAGUUUAUCCUGACUUUUUUUUACAUAAAUUGUCAUCCUGCCUUUUUUUCCAAGUUGCUCAUCCUGCCAUUUUUUUUGCCAAGUUGCUCAUCCUGCCUUUUUUUUUAACUCAAAACUCCUGUCCUGCCUUUUUCAAAUUUCAUCCUAGCCCCCCACCCCCAUAAAAAUCAUAUGGUAGCUCCC